rnacentral:misc_RNA from 1 species
UCGCGGCUUAUCACCGGCAGUCUCCUUAGAGUGCUCAACUAAAUGGUAGCAACUAAGGACGGGGGUUGCGCUCGUUGCGGGACUUAACCCAACAUCUCACGACACGAGCUGACGACAGCCAUGCAGCACCUGUUCUCCGACCUAUUGCUAGGAGGAAUCCAUUUCUGGAAACCGCCCGGAGAAUGUCAAGGACUGGUAAGGUUCUUCGCGUUGCGUCGAAUUAAACCACAUGCUCCACCGCUUGUGCGGGUCCCCGUCAAUUCCUUUGAGUUUUAGCCUUGCGGCCGUACUCCCCAGGCGGGGCACUUAAUGCGUUAGCUUCGGCACGGAGGGAGUUGACACCCCCCACACCUAGUGCCCAUCGUUUACGGCGUGGACUAC